UCAAGAUAUUAAGGGCACGCGGUGGAUGCCUUGGCGUCAGAAGCCGAUGAAGGACGUGGACGGCUGCGAUAAGCCGCGGUGAGGCGCUGAACAGCCUUUGACCCGCGGAUUUCCGAAUGGGGGAACCCACGCGUGGUAAUGCGCGCGUAUCUCCGCCUGAACACAUAGGGCGGUUGAAGGCAAGCCGGCGAAGUGACACAUCUCAGUAGCCGGAGGAAAGGAAAGAAACCUCGACUCCCUGAGUAGUGGCGAGCGAAAAGGGAUCAGCCUAAACCGUUUGAGUGCCAUGCCUGCGGGCUUAGCUCAAGCGGGGUUGUAGGAGUGACAUGGUCGUCCCGCAGGGCGGCCGGGAAGUUACAAAACCACAGGUUAGCCGAGCAGCUUGGAACGGCUGGCUACAAAGGGUAACAGCCCCGUAGGUGAAAGCCUGUGGACUUCCUCGUCACCACCUGAGUACGACCGGGCACGGGAAACCCGGUCGGAAGCUACGGGGACCACCCCGUAAGGCUAAGUACUUUCUGACGACCGAUAGCGAACUAGUACCGUGAGGGAAAGGUGAAAAGUACCCCGGGAGGGGAGUGAAAUAGUACCUGAAACCGCGUGCCUACAAGCGGUAGGAGCAGACUUCGGUCUGUGACUGCGUGCUUUUUGCAUAACGAGCCUGCGAGUUACUCGUGUCCGGCAAGGUUAAGAUAACGGAGCCGUAGCGAAAGCGAGUCUGAAUAGGGCGCUUUAGUCGGACGCGGUAGACCCGAAACCGAGUGAUCUAUCCAUGGGCAGGUUGAAGCGGGGGUAAGACCUCGUGGAGGACCGAACCCACGUCGGUUGAAAACGGCGGGGAUGACCUGUGGAUCGGAGUGAAAGGCUAAUCAAACUCGGUGAUAUCUGGUUCUCUCCGAAAUAUAUUUUGGUAUAGCCUCCUGCGUUCAGUCGUGGUUGUAAAGCACUGUUUGGCCUAGGGGCCCUACCAGGUUACCGAAGUCAGAUAAACUCUGAAUGCCAUGACUUUAGAGCAGGGGAGUCAGACUGCGGGGGAUAAGCUUCGUAGUCGAGAGGGAAACAGCCCAGACCACCAGCUAAGGGCCCCAAGCGCUGGCUAAGUGGAAAACGUUGUGCGAGUGCACAGACAACCAGGAUGUUGGCUUAGAGGCAGCCAUUCGUCUAAGGAGUGCGUAAUAGCUCACUGGUCAAGUGCUCGUGCGCGGAUAAUGUAACGGGGCUCAAGCCAGCCCCCGAAGCUGUGGGCUUCGUCUUUGACGGAGCGGUAGGAGAGCGUUCUUCGUGCAGUGAAGCGGCAGCGGCAAGCUCCCGUGGAGCGCGGAGAAGUGAGAAUGCAGGCAUAAGUAACGAAAGAGGAGUGAGAAACUCCUCCACCGGAUGCCCAAGGUUUCCUGAGUAAAGCUAAUCUGCUCAGGGUUAGUCGGGACCUAAGCCGAGGCCGACAGGCGUAGGCGAUGGAUAACAGGUUGAUAUUCCUGUACUGCGUCUUCCGCGCUAUUACCGAUGGGGGGACGGGGAAGGAUAGGCGAACCGUGGCGAUGGUCGUCCACGGACAACCCGGUAGGAGGGACCCCAGGAAAAUCCAGGGUCCACAUACUCCGAGAGGGGAUGUCGGUCGGCGUAAGCCGGCAAGUCGUCGAGUCCAUGCCUCCGAGAAAAGCCUCUAGGGAGUGGGAACGCACCCGUACCAAAACCGACACAGGUGGGCAGGUAGAGCAUACCGAGGUGAUCGAGAGAACCCUCGUUAAGGAACUCGGCAAAAUUGUCCCGUAACUUCGGGAGAAGGGACGCCCCGGUAGAGUGACGGACUUCGCGUCUUGAGCUCGAGGGGGCCGCAGAGAAUUGGCCCAACCGACUGUUUACCAAAAACACAGGUCUCUGCGAAGUCGUAAGACGACGUAUAGGGGCUGACGCCUGCCCGGUGCCGGAAGGUCAAGUGGAGAGGUUAGCCCUUGAGGCGAAGCUUUGAAACCAAGCCCCGGUAAACGGCGGCCGUAACUAUAACGGUCCUAAGGUAGCGAAAUUCCUUGUCGGGUAAGUUCCGACCUGCACGAAUGGCGUAACGAGUUGGGCGCUGUCUCAACGAGGGACUCGGUGAAAUUGUAGUAUCGGUGAAGAUGCCGAUUACCCGCCGCAAGACGGAAAGACCCCGUGAACCUUUACUGCAGCUUGAUAUUGGUGUCUGGGACAUCCUGUCCAGGAUAGGUGGGAGGCUGUGAGACCGUGGCGUCAGCUGCGGAGGAGCCACCCUUGGGAUACCACCCUGGAUGUUCUGGGCUUCUAACGGAAGACCGUGAUCCGGCUUUCGGACAGUGUCAGGUGGGCAGUUUGACUGGGGCGGUCGCCUCCCAAAUUGUAACGGAGGCGCACAAAGGUUCCCUCAGCACGGUUGGAAAUCGUGCGUAGAGUGUAAAGGCAUAAGGGAGCUUGACUGCGAGACUGACAGGUCGAGCAGGUACGAAAGUAGGUCUUAGUGAUCCGGCGGUAGAGAGUGGAAUUGCCGUCGCUCAACGGAUAAAAGGUACUCCGGGGAUAACAGGCUUAUCCUCCCCAAGAGUCCACAUCGACGGGAGGGUUUGGCACCUCGAUGUCGGCUCGUCGCAUCCUGGGGCUGGAGUAGGUCCCAAGGGUUGGGCUGUUCGCCCAUUAAAGCGGUACGCGAGCUGGGUUCAGAACGUCGUGAGACAGUUCGGUCCCUAUCUGCGGUGGGCGUUGGAGAUUUGAGAGGAGUCGUCCCUAGUACGAGAGGACCGGGAUGAACAGACCUCUGGUGUAUCAGUUGUCGUGCCAACGGCACUGCUGACUAGCUACGUCUGGACGGGAUAACCGCUGAAAGCAUCUAAGCGGGAAGCCCACCUCAAGAUGAGAUCUCCCACCCCUUAG
rnacentral:rRNA from 1 species